UACAGAGUAAUAGUAAAGCGUUAAGUGCCUAAUCAUGGGAUGUUUGAUUAGGACGAACACAUAAUAUGUGGCGGUUUUUCUAUUUGUCCGCUGUA
rnacentral:ncRNA from 1 species